UUCUUCUUUGAGUGAUUGCUCAUGUGUAUUCCACAAUGGGCGAUUCCAAGCUAUACCUGCUGGAGGUGGGUAGGAGUUCCCAAGUUCUCAAGACGGAGUACCGCCCUGCUGAACCCGGCAUCAUCCCUGGUUUGGGAGACUAUCGCAUAGUGCGAGGUGAACGUGUGAACCGAAGACCACGUGGCGGCCAUACAAAUGACCUGUAUAGGGACGUGGGCCACGAAGGCAGCCGACGAAGCCUGCGCUCGAGUCGAGUGCACCCUCACAAUGGGCAGCGGGAGGACACCUGUCAGCUCAUAACAGGAAUGGAUGCACGAAGUGAUCCAGUUGGAAAGCCGCUGAGUGGAAAUCGGUUGGCCUCUCGAGCGCUCAGCUGAGGCGAAAAACAGUUGCAGGGACUUUCUGAACGGCUUGGUCCACUCGAGGUAGAAAGCCUGAGCCCGCCUCACAUCAAGCAUGUGGAGACGGCGCUCCUCACUAGUCACGUGAGACUUGGGGCAGAGGACUGGAAGAAAAAAGUGUCCUGACCCAUGUGGUAGGCGGAGAUCACCUUCGGGAGGAACUCGGGGUAUGGGCGGAGCUGGAGCUUGUCCUUAUGAAAGACCGUAUACGGCGGCUCGGAGGUCAGGGCCCUGAGCUCCGAGACCUGCCUGGCCAAUGUGAUAGCAACCAGGAAAGCCACCUUCCACGAGAGGUGAGACCAGGAACACGUGGCUAACAGUUCAAAUGGGGCCCCUGUAAGACGAGCUAGCACUAGAUUCAGAUCCCAUUGUGGGACCAGAGGCUUAGAGUAUGGGUAAAGCCAGUCCAAACCCUUAAGGAACCGGCAGUCAUAGCACGGGAGAACACAGAGUGUCAUUGCACCGGGGGAUGGAAAGCCGAUAUGGCCACCAGGUGCACCUUGACUGAUGAGGGCGCCAGGCCCCGGGCCCUCAGGUGGAGGAGGUAAUCAAGGAUAAGCUGGACUGGGGCGGCUGUCGGGGACACACCUUGGUCUGCCGCCCACCUAGAAAACCGAGACCACUUUGCCAUGUAGGCGCGCAGUCUACUUUCGAGGAAGACGCGCUGAACUUGUUCUGAGCAUGUCCUUUCCUCGCCACCUAGCUACUGAGCAGCCACACUGAGGUGAAGAGCUGCCAGGUUGGGGUGGAGGAGGCGGCCCUGGUCCUGAGAGAGCAGGUCCGGGCGGAGUGGCAAUGGCCACGGCGGAGUCACCGCCAGCCCGAGAGGGUCCCGUACCAGUGCUGCCUGGGCCACGCUGGGGCAAUGAGGAGGACCCUGGCUUUGUCUGUCUUUAUUUUCUCCAGGACCCUGCUCAUCAGAGGGAAUGGGGAAAAAGGCGUAGAGAAGCUGGCCUGACCAGGAUAGAAUAAAGGCAUCAGAGAUAGCGCCCUUCCCUAGGCCCGCCCCGGAGCAGAACCGGGGGCAUCGUCGGUUCUGCCGGGUCGCAAAUAGGUCUACCUGGGGAGUUCCCCACCUUCAGAAGAGCUAGUGGGCCACUUCCGGGUGUAGAGACCACUUGUGCUGAGAGGAAAAGUCUCUGCUCAAGUGAUCUGCCCUCACGUUCUGGGCGCCUGGCAGGAGAAAGGCUUUUAGGUGGAUGUCGUGGGCUAUACAGAAGUCCCACAGACUGAGGGCUUCGUGGCAGAGGAUUGGGCCCCACCUUGCCGGUUGAUAUAGAACAUUGAGGCCAUAUUGUCCGUGAGGAUCCUGACUACCUUGCCCUUCAGAUGUGAGCGGAAGGCCAUACAUGACGGUCACACUGCCCUGAGUUGACAUUUAUAUGAAGGGUCAGGUCUUGCAAAAACCACAGGCCUUGGGUCUGAAAAUUCCCCAUAUGUAGCCCCCAGCCCAGGUCCGGUGCAUCAGACACCAGCUCCAACGACAGGGCCCUGUCCCUGAACAGGACCCCUUGGAGCAUGUUGCUUGGGGCGGACCACCACCGCAGGGAGGUGAUCACCAAGUUCGGCAUGGUGAGGACCUUGUCUAUUCUGUCCGUGGUCUGGGAGAACUUCGAGGCCAGCCAGAGCUGGAGGGGCCUCAUCCUGAGUCUGGCGUGGCGGACCACAUACGUGAACGCCGACAUGUGACCUAGCAGCUGCAGGCAAGCCCCGGCUGUCGUCACUGGGAACCUUGCAAUUGAGUUGAUGAGCCCUUUCAGGGUCUCGAACCUGUCUGGGGGGGAGAGAGGCCCUGGCCGACGUUGCGUCCAGGAGCACCCUGAUAAACUCUAUGCGUUGGACCAGGACUAACAUGGACUUGGUGUUGUUUACCAACAGGCCCAGGGCAGUGCAUGUGGACAGGAGGAGUGCCACAUGAUCCCUCACCUGUGAUCGGGAGUUGCCCUUGACCAGCCAGUCGUCCAGACACGGGAAUAUCUGGACCCCCCGGUGCCUGAGGUAGAAUGCCAAUGCUCAUCUGAUGUCGAGAGAACAAAGACUCCUCUACUCGCUGGACGCGUGAGGCAAAGAAUAUCAGUAAAGCAAAUCAACUGGUUUAUGUAGACCUUGGAAGUUACCUACAGGAUGAAUUUGGGUGAAGGCAAAGGAAUACCUUCUCUUUAUGAAAUGUAGGUGUAUGACAGGUAGACCAUGAGGGCCUCCAGCUCACCUUCUCUCCUGGCCAACAUAAUGGUCCUCUGGAAGGCAACCUUCAUAGAAGAUGGGACCUCAAGAACAUGGUCGACGGUUUGAAAGAUGGCCUGUUAAGUGUUGAAGCAAUCUGGCUUUAGACCUAGGCAUAACACAAAAGACGGCACAUAUUCCUUUGAUUGAUGGAAGAUGGCAGAGCUGCAACUCAAAAAUAUAUCUUAAUCUCCCUUAAUUGCCUUGCACAUGUCGAACAGAGGUGGAUGGGAACAUGGGACACUACAGUUAUGAGCCAUUGAGGAAAAUGUAUAAUAGCCCAUCAAGGACCUUUGGAUCCUCCUCAAAAGAGUAUGGUUUGCCAACUGAUCAAAAUGUUGUGUUUUAUUUUGUUUAAUGAAGAUGGGAACAAUAUACACACAUUAAAAAUAAAUGGUUUUCUCUGAAUUUUCUGGUCUCAAAUACUCCAAAAAUUGAUAUUAACUAUAUAUCCUCAAAUGAAAAAAAAGUUCAAAUUCAUAACAUGUACUUGUUUUUGAAAUAUGCAAAUCAAUAUGUCCUCAUUAGAAACUGAAUAAAUUGCCUAAAACAGAUUAUGUUCAAAGUAAGAUGAGUUAUAUUUACAACACACACAUCUGAACCUAAAAAUUUCAAAAUUUGGGGACAUUAAGUUCCAAACAGGAAAGAAUUCUUAAUCCCAAACCUAAGCAUCUGAAACUAUAUAAAACAGUAGCGUAAAUCCAAACUCAACUUUUAAGCCUAACUAGUAUAGUUAGAGCUUUUUGUCUAUUUAUUGAGAUAUUAUUUAUUCAAUUUCUUGUACAUUACAGGAAACUACAUCGUGCAUUUAAUAAGAAAGAUGAUACACUGGUUAUCCUGUCAUUCAAUUUAUAUCGGCUCACCUGCCAA